rnacentral:rRNA from 1 species
AGUAAAGUGGCGCACGGGUGAGUAACGCGUGGGUAAUCUACCUGCGAAUGGGGGAUAACCUGGCGAAAGCGUGCUAAUACCGCAUAAGAUCGCAGGGCCUCGGCCCUGCGAUCAAAGCUGGCCUCUGCAUGCAAGCUAGCGUUCGCAGAUGAGCCCGCGUACCAUUAGCUUGUUGGUAGGGUAACGGCCUACCAAGGCGACGAUGGUUAGCUGGUCUGAGAGGAUGAUCAGCCACACUGGAACUGACACACGGUCCAGACUCCUACGGGAGGCAGCAGUGAGGAAUUUUGCGCAAUGGGGGAAACCCUGACGCAGCAACGCCGCGUGAGUGAUGAAGGCUUUCGGGUCGUAAAGCUCUGUCAAGUGGGAAGAACCUACAUAGUGCCAAUACCACUUUGCACUGACGGUACCACUGAAGGAAGCACCGGCUAACUCCGUGCCAGCAGCCGCGGUAAUACGGGGGGUGCAAGCGUUAUUCGGAAUCAUUGGGCGUAAAGAGCGCGUAGGCGGUCUCUUAAGUCAGAUGUGAAAGCCCGAGGCUUAACCUCGGAAGUGCAUUUGAAACUAAGGGACUUGAGUA